UCCAGCUAAAAGAGACACAUGAUGGAUCUUGUGUACAGAGAGGAGUGAAAACAAAAGAAAACACAAAAACAAAACAGAACGAAAGCUGUAGAGCACCACCGAAGAAUGAUGAACAGUAAAAGCACAGAAAAACAGGAGGAAUGACUAUCAUGACUUUCAGAAAAAGAAGGCAUGCAUUAGCAGGUGUCUGGACCCCCAGGACUGACCGGUAAACAGGUGUGAGCAGGUUUUCCUGAGCUUCAGAGCCUGGUCGUAGAGUUUGCGGGCACUGCGGUUAGAGCUGGGGAUGAUCCUCUGUCUCAUUGCCUUCACCCCAGGUUUGCUGUCUGGGCUGAAGAAGAUGACUAUGGGGUACCACUGUGUGUAAUUCAGGGUGUCCACAGCUUUAGGGGUGACGUCCAGCAGAGCAUGCUUGUCCUGCAUUAGUGACAGAAUUGGUCAUUGUUUAAUUGUAGGUAAAAUUAAAAAUACAUUCAUGCGAUUUAUGCAGUAAAUUUUGAUUAUUAAUUUGUGUGUGCAUACACAAUUACCUGUUCAAUGAUCUGCCGAAUAGUGUUGAGACGAACCACCCCAGAGGAUUUUUCUGACCCUGCAUCUUUGGGUUCAGUUUCUAAUGUGCCAUUAAACAAAAACAAUGAGUAUAGUCAAACUACAAAUAAGAAUACUUAAUAAACACGUACAAUGCAAAAAAAAGUUAGCUAAAGCUGUGGAUUUUGGCUUAAAGUCUGAUGUUGUCAGACCUGACUUCAUCAUCCAAUCGUCCCUAUCUCUCUCUCUCUCUCUCUCUCUAUAUAUAUAUAAAACGAUAUCAGUUAUAUAAAUAAGUAAAUAUAUAAAUUGAAUUUUAUAAAAUAUCUUUAAGAUAAAAGCAGUAUGUAUUGUUGUUAUUAUUAUUAUUUUUGCUUUUAUAUAUAAUAUUAGCUAUAUUUUAUAUUAUUAAUUAUAGCAGUAAUGCAUACCAAGGAUAGACCCCAAAAAACUAUAUAAAUUAUAUACAAAAAAAAAUAUCUAAAUUGAUUUUUUAUAAAAGCAAUAAUAUCUAUUGUUAUUAUUAUUAUUAUUAUUAUAUUGUUUUAAUUUUGUUUUUAUAUAUAUAUUAGCAAUAUCUUAUAUAAUUAAUUAUAGAAGUACUGCAUAACAAGGAUUGCCCACAAAAUCUCCUCCAUCUAAUGAUAUAAAUAAGCAAAUACUGAAAUUGAAUUUUAUAAAAUACCUUUAAUAUAAAAGCAAUAAUAUAUUACUAUUAUUAUUAUUAUUAUCAUUAUAUAUUUUAAUUUGUUUUUAUAUAUUAGCUAUAUUUUAUAUUAUUAAUUACAGAAAUACUGCAUAACAAGGAUUGACCCCCCAAACUCUAUAAAUUAUAUAAGUAAACAAAAAUUGAAUUUUAUAAAAUACCUUUAAUAUAAAAGCAAUAAUAUGUAUUGUUAUUAUUAUUAUAUAUUUUUUUUAAUUUUUGUUUUUUGUAAUAAUAUUAGCUAUAUUUUAUAUAAUUAAUUAUAGAAGUACUGCAUAACAAGGAUUGACCCCAGGAAACUCCUCCAUUUAAUUAUAUAAUUAAGCAAAUAUAUACUUUUUUUUUUUAAUAAAAUAACUUUAGUAUAAAAGAAAUAAUAUGUAUUAUUGUUAUUAUUAUUAUUUAUAAUAUUAGCUAUAUUUUAUAUUAAUAAUUAUAGAAGUUCUGCAUAACAAGGAUUGACCCCCCCAAAAACAAAAAAGAAUUAUUGGUAUUUUUGGUAAAAUGUAUUACAGAAAUGUAUAAUUAUUAUUAUUAAUUUUUAUUAUUAUUAUUUUACUUUUUAUUUAUUUAUUGUUCACAAUUUUAAAAAAGCGAAAAAAUGUGCAUCCCUAGUUUUAAUGAUUUAUAUUUGCAUUUAUUUAUUUAGCAGAUGCUUUUUGUAUAGCAAAAGUGUUAACUGUUUUAAAAAGUCUCAUUCACAUGACUUAAAUUUUGAAAUAUGCAAACUUUAUUAUAUUGUUAUAUUAUUUAUAUAAUUAUUUAUUAUGUAUUUCAUUAUAUAAAAUUCCAUUUUUUAAAUAUUUAUAAAAUGAAUACUUUAUCAUAUCAUGUUGCUAAUAUUAAUUAUGGAGUCCAAAACUCUUUUGCAUGCUUAAAAUCCUUCAGAAAUUAUUGAUGGUAUGUUAGACACAGCAGCAUGAACUCACUGGCAAUUACAAACUCGUCUGGAAGCUCCGCAGCCAGUUUUUCACUGGCAGCAUCAGCGAUUGGUCCAAACAGCACAACCGGCCUUCGGAAUCCCGCUAUGGGAGGAAGACAAGACUUACAAUCAGGAUUUCACAGUGGAGGGUCCCUACGCAGAGUUUACUGCCCCCUACACAUUUGUUAUUUAAAUAAUUCAAAAAAAUUAUUAUAUAUAAUUAAUAUAUAUCUUUUUGGAACCUGUCAUUCUUUUUUCAGGAUUUUUUGAUAAACAAAAAGUUUAAAAGAACCCCAUUUAUUCAAAAUAGAAAUCUUUUCUAACAAG